rnacentral:rRNA from 1 species
UACGAAGGGGGCUAGCGUUGCUCGGAAUUACUGGGCGUAAAGCGCGUGUAGGCGGCUAUGUAAGUCGGGCGUGAAAUCCCACGGCUCAACCGUGGAAGUGCACCCGAAACUGCGUAGCUAGAGUCCUGGAGAGGAAGGUGGAAUGCUUGGUGUAGAGGUGAAAUUCGUAGAUAUCCAGCGGAACACCGGUGGCGAAGGCGGCCUUCUGGACAGUGACUGACGCUGAGACGCGAAAGCGUGGGGAGCAAACAGG